rnacentral:tRNA from 1 species
GUAACAACAAGGGCAGGGUAGAGUGACACACACACACACAUAUAUGUAAGCAAGCGCACGCACGCACACACGCACGCACGCACGCACGCACACACACACACACACACACACACACACACACACACACACACACACACAGAAAGCGUUAGCAGGGUUUGAGUGGCAGCUGAAGUUAGGGUUGAAUAAACAGUAGUCCUGAUAACCCCAGGAUUGACAAGGCCACCCCGAUUGUCUUAUCUCGUAACCAUAGACCGGGACUCUGGCCAAGGGCCAAUAGAAACAGGGAAGACAAGCUUGUGGCCCAAUCAGUGAAGAGAAAACAUCCUGUGAACGAUACAGAAAAAGAAGGGGAACCUAUCGGGGGCAGGGGUAGGAGGCAUAUGAGGUAAGGGAGGGUGCUGGAGGUACUGUCUGUCUGUCACAGUCUGCGUGUGCGCGUCUGUGCUUGCGUGAAUGUGUUAUUCAGAUGCGAUAUGUUGUGUAUAUAUGAUAGAGGGAACGUGUUCACUCUCAGACACCUCUGACACCGCUUGUUAUUGAGGUCGUGGAUGGCCGGGAGCUCGGCCCCAUGAUGUACUGGGCUGUCCGCACCACCCUUUGUAGAGAUUUGCGGUCAAGGGAGGUGCAUUUGCCAUACCAAGCGAUGAUGCAGAAAGUCAAGAUGCUCUCGGUGGUGCAGCUGUAGAACUUAUUGAGGAUCCGAUGGCCCAUGCCAAAUCUUUUCAGCCUCCUGAGAGGGAAAAGGUGCUGCUGUGCCCUCUGCAUGACUGUAUGGGUGCGUGUGGACCAUGUUGAGUCCUUAGUGAUGUGGAAGCCAAAGAACUGCUCUCCCAUCUUUUUUCUAUAGUCCACGAUCACCUCCUUGGUCUUACUGGCAUUAAGGGAGAGGUUGUUGUCCUGGCACCACACUGCUAAGUCUCUGACCUGCUCCCUGUAGGCUGACUCAUUGCCGUCGGUGAUCAGGCCUACCACUGUCGUGUCUUCAGCAAACUUGAUGAUGGUGUUGGUGCAGUGGAGUGGUUCUAGAGUGUCUGGGAUAAUGGUGUUGAUGUGUGUCAUGACAAGCCUUACAAAGCACUUCAUAAUUACAGAUGUGAGUGCUACAGGGCGAUAGUCAUUAUUAAGGCAGGUUACCUUGGAGCUCUUGGGAACAGGGACAAUGGUGGUCAGCUUGAAACAUGUUGGGAUUACUGACUGGGACAAGAAGAGAUUGAAAAUGUCUGUGAAGACACUUGUCAGCAGGUCUGCGCAAGAUUUGAGAAUGAGGGAGGGCUUUGUAUGCAUUUCUGUGUGUAGAAUAAUAGAUUUGACAAUGAGGGAGGGCUUUGUAUGUGUUUCUGUGUGUAGAAUAAUAGUGGUCUAGAGUUUUAGGGCCCUAGUGGGGCAGGAGACGUGUUGGUAGAAGUGAGGUAGGAUGGUUUUAAGUCUCCCAGCAUUAGAAAGUCUCCACCAACUCUCUUGGUAGAUAAAAGGGUCUGCAGCUUACCAUGAGGUAUUCUAUAUCAGGUGAGCAAAAGCUUGAGAUUUCUUUCACACUUGAAGCAUCAGACAAGUUGCUAUUUAUCAAAAAACUAAACUUACCCGAAGCCGUCGUCUGAUCCUGCUGCUGCAUGGAGGAACCACUGAGUACUACAUGCAUAGCGUCAUCAUCCAGACACGUGUCAAUAAGACAAAAUAUUACAGCUUUUUCGGUUUUCUCUUCGCCUCAAUUUCACCAGGACUCCACCUCGUCUCACACGUCUACGCCUGCGGCGUUUUGGUAUCCCAUGGAACAAAGGAAUAGGGCCCAUAUGAACAGUGGAACAGCUGAGUUGGAGUUGAAGUCGUAUUUGAUGUUGAAAUCGAGGGCUUCCAUUCCAUCAAUACCCUGGCUAAGUCUUGCUGAUGUUUCUACUACCUCCACCAACACCACCUCCUCAGAUGGCCUGUUCAAACACUGAUUAGCAGCAGAGGUAUAGCCUACCUCAAGCUGGUCCCCCUCCGACUCAGAGCACAGAGAAUCAGACUGAUCCGAACUCACUGGCUCUGGUGGAUGGGAUACCUCCUGGGGGGUUUGGACAGUCAGUGGUCCUAAAGUCAUUUGGAGAGGUAAAUUGAAGAGUUCCAUUUUUAUAAGCUCAGCUUAACUACCAUUUCUUGUUUUCUCAAAUGUCAACCAAAGCUUAACAUACUUUGUCUAUUGGGCUUCACCGAAGUGUAGGGUGUCAGGGCGUUUGUCACGUCCUGACCAUAGAAAGCUGUUAUUUUCUAUGGUAGACUGGGUCAGGGUGUGACAGGGGGGGUUUUCUAGUUUAGUUUUUCUAUGUUGUCAUGUUCUAGUUUUGUAUUUCUAUGUUGGUUUUGUUUGGGAUGAUCUCCAAUUAGAUGCAGCUGGUCCUCGUUGUCUCUAAUUGGAGAUCAUACUUAAGUAGGUGUUUUUUCUACCUGGGUUUGUGGGAGAUUGUCUUUGAGUAGUGUAUGUUUCACCUCUGCGUCACGGUUUGUUGUUUUGUUCUUUAGUUUAUGUAUUGCAUAGUUUCACAGUGUAAAUAAAAUGUGGAAUGACACACACGCUGCACUUCGGUCCGCUUCUCCUUACGACAACCUUGACAGUGUUCAGUGGUUGACCGUCCAAUUGCUCCAACUGAAGAAGAUUAUUGGCUUCCACCAUUUUAGUGAAACUAAAACUAGCUUCAGGUUAAUUUGUGUGCAAAUGCAAAUAGUUACAGUUCAUUCAGAACGUAUUCAGACCCCUUAACUUUUUCCACAUUUUGUUACGUUACAGCCUUAUUCUAAAUCUUAUUCUUUUUUUUCCUCAUCAAUCUACACACAAUACCCAAUAAUGACAAAGUGAAAACCGUUUUUUUUUUUUACAUUUUUGACUGCUCUAAGUAUUCAGACCCUUUGAAAUUGAGCUUGGGCGCAUCCUGUUUCAUUGAUCUUCCUUGAGAUGUUUCUACAACUUGAUUGGAGUCCAUCUGUGGUAAAUUAAAUUGAUUGGACAUGAUUCAGAAAUGCACACACCUGUCUACAUAAGGUCCCACAGUUGACAGUGUAUGUCAGAGCAAAAACCAAGCCAUGAGGUCGAGGAAUUGUCCAUAGAGCUCUGAGACAGGAUUGUGAUCAGGCACAGAUCUGUGGAAAAGGUACCAAAAAAUGAAGGUCCCCAAGAUCCCAGUGACCUUCAUCAGUCUUAAAUGAAAGAUGUUUGGAACCACCAAGACUCUUCCUAGAGCUGGCCGCCCGGCCAAAUCGGGGGAGAAGGGCCUUGGUCAGGGAGGUGACCAAGAACCCAAUAGUCACUCUGACAGAGCUCCAGAGUUCCUCUGUGGAGAUGGGAGAACCUUCCAGAAGGACAACCAUCUCUGCAGCACUCCACCAAUCAGGCCUUUAUGGUAGAGUGGCCAGAUGGAAGCCACUCCUCAGUAAAAGGCACAUGACAGCCUGCUUGGAGUUUGCCAAAAACACCUAAAGGACUCUCAGACCAUAAGAGACAAGAUUCUCUGGUCUGGUGAAACCAAGAUUGAACUCUUUGGCCUGAAUGGCAAGCGUCACGUCUGGAGGAAACCUGGCAACAUCCCUACGGUGAAGCAUGGUGGUGGCAGCAUCAUGCUGUGGGGAUGUUUUUCAGCGGCGGGGACUGGGAGACUAUUCAGGAUCAAGGGAAAGAUGAACGGAGCAAAGUACAGAAAGAUCCUUGAUGAAAAACUGCUCCAGAAGGUUCAGCUUCCAAUAGGGCAAUGACCCCAGCACACAGCCAAGACAAUGUAGGAGUGGCUUCGGGACAAGUCUCUGAAUGUCCUUGAGUGGCCCAGCCAGAGCCCGGACUUGAACCCGAACAAACAUCUCUGGAGAAACCUGAAAAUAGCUGUGCAGCGACGCUCCCCAUCCAACCAGACAGAGCUUGAGAGGAUCUGCAGAGAAAAAUGGCAGAAACUCCAUCAAAUACAGGUGUGCCAAGCUUGUAACGUCAUAUCCAAGAAGACUCAAGGCUGAAAUCGCUGCCAAAGAUGCUUCAACAAAGUACUGGGGGAAUAAUUUCUACAAACCUGUUUUUGUUUCAUCAUUAUGGGGUAUUGUGUGUAGAUUGAUGAGGAAAAAGAAUCUGGAAAAAGUGAAAGGGUCUGAAUACUUUCCAAAUGCAAGUAAUUUGGCCAGAUGUCGUAGCACUUGGUCCCCGUCUUGAUUCUGCUCCGGUAGUUCUCCUUCUGUUUCUCCUGCGCCUUGUCCAUGUUCAGUAUCACCUUGAUUGAUAACAAGAAUAAAGGCAAUUAUAUUUCGUAUUACAAAUACAUUUCUUACAUAUCUCUUGGAGGGCCAGAAAAUAAAUUAACAGCAGACAAUCAUUUUUACCUGGUCAAAAACCUCCACAUCCGUGCCUGGAGGUGGUCCUCGAAGACGUUCUGAUCAGGUUCCACAACUUCCACCACAUCAGGUGGGGUUUCAGUGAUCUGAAAGUACAUUAUACAAAAAUAGCAAAAGACAAAACAACAACACUAAGUCAAUCACAAAUAUGAAAGACUACAGUAUAUGCAAUAAUUGUAUAAACAAUUGCAUUGUUUACCUCAGUCAACAGGUGCGGCUCCCGUCCGUACUCGGUGGAGGUCUGGACGCUGCUGUUGUGUGGAAAGAUAAUUACCUUCAGGUUGUUCUCCCACCAUUCCUGGUUACCAUCAAGGGACUUGCCCAUGGCAGUCUUGAGGGUCUGGUUGGUCCAUUCACCAAACCUGGAGGAGGGGGUAGGAAAGCCAUAUCUAUUGACACUCUAAGAUAUUGAAAUAUGUCUGAUUAUGUACCAUGUAAAAACGUUUUUUUUUUUUUUAUAAAUAAAUAAAACAAAUGAUAGGUGACAUAAUAUAACCUAUAACAUCCGUACCUUGUUCCAGUGUUCAUGACCUCGGUCACUCAAGAUGACCUCAAGAGAACUGUGGGUGUUGCCUUCCCUGUGGCUCAGUUGGUAGAGCAUGGUGUUUGCAACGCCAGCAUGGUGUGUGCAAUGCCAGGGUUGUGGGUUCGAUUCCCAUGGGGGGGCCAGUACAAAAAACAAAUGCAUGAAAUGGAAUGUAUGCAUUCACUACUGUAAGUUGCUCUGGAUAAGAGCGUCUGCUAAAUGACUAAAAUGUAAAAAUGAAGAUGACCAUCAUCACCUUGGAGGUGACCUUGCCAGUUUAGUCCUUGAUGGGUAUCAUACAAAACAAAAAUGAUGUUGGGGUUCCAAGCACCCUUUUUAAAUGGGUUACAGAAGGGAAUUUAGAGUUAAGCACAUUCUCUUCCUUUGCUGACCUUAAUGGGUAUUGCCUCCACUCACUUGGUAAAAUGAUUGGUCGCUGUCAGACACCAGCUUUUGCCAUUCCUGGAUUUUGUGAAGGGUCCGAUGAGGUCCAACCCUAACAUUUAAAGUGUUAGAGAGAAUAUUAUUUUAUUCUUACCCGUAUCUGUGUCAUACAGUGUGCAAAUGUUCAUAUUUGUAAGGAUACUGACACACACACACACACAAAACACAUAUUCUAUAAUAUUGAACUCUGCUGUAGUCAAAUAAAGCAACCAUUACAAAACAAAUGAUCAGGGAACAUUUUUAAUUGGGACACUUACCGAUCAUGUGACAUGGGGAAACAACUUUGAUGGGAUUCAACUCCGGCGCCACAGUCUUCACCUUCUCAAACUUCUGGCAGGCUAGACAGGGUACUGAGCUUUAAACUUCUUCGGGAUCAGUGUCCCAUCCACGGGACGGUUGAGCUAACGUAGGCUAAUGUGAUUAGCAUGAGGUUGUAAGUAACAAGAACAUUUCCCAGGUCAUAGACAUAUCUGAUAUUGGCAGAAAGCUUCAAUUCUUGUUAAUCUAACUGCACUGUCCAAUUUACAUGAGCUAUUACAGUGAAAUAAUACCAUGCUAUUGUUUGAGGAGAGUGCACAAUUUUGAACAUAAAAAGUUAUUAAUAAACAAAUUAGGCACAUUUGGGUGGUCUUGACACAACAUUUUGAACAGAAAUGCAAUGGUUCACUGAAUCAGCCUAAAACUUUGCACAUACCCUGACACCAUCUAGUGGCCAAAAUCUAAAUUGCACCUGGGCUGGAAUAAUACAUUAUGGCCUUUCUCUUGCAUUUUAAAGAUAAUGGUACAAAAAAAGUACAAAAGAAUGGUUGGUUUUUCUUUGUAUUAUCUUUUAGCAGAUCUAUUGUGUUAUAUUAUCCUACAUUCCUUUCACAUUUCCACAAACUUCAAAGUGUUUCCUUUCAAAUGGUACCAAUAAUAUUAAUAUCCUUGCUUCAGGGCCUGAGCUACAGGCAGUUAGAUUUGGGUAUGUCAUUUUAAGCAAAAAGUGACAAAUUAAAACUUUGGUUGUUCUCUGAUAUGACAUUCAUUGAAAUCAUAAUAGUUUCAGAAAUAAUAGAAUGUGAUUGAUAAACAAAAGACUCUCUCACUUGCCCAGCUGUCCACCUCCUUGACAUUUCCCCAUCAGAAGAUGCGUAGGUUGAUUUUGGCAAAGCUGCGCUUUACUCCGAAAUGGCCAGCAUGCAUCUCGGUCAGCACGGCCUCCUUCUCCUCCUUAGUAAAAAUCACCCUCCUGUGUGGCUGCCAAUCCUUCCCCCGUAGGUACAUGCGAUUGCCUAACAAGUUGGAAGAGACGAGUACAUUUGCACUGCUGUCUUUCUUUCUCUGUUUCUCGCUUUCCAUCUCUCUCUGUCUUCCACUCUUCCCACAUCUCUUUCUCCCUCUCUCACUUCAUCCUUUCUUUCUUACAUUCUUCCUCUCUCUCCACCCCCCUCUCUCUCUCUGUGCUUGUCUAGCAAAGUUACCUAGUUAAGGGCAUUUGGAAUUACCAUAAUUGCUUACACCUAUCCAUUUGAUUGAUCAGGUUUAACUUAUAGCUAGAUACCUCAAUAUGACAGACAUAUACGUAUAUCAGUGGAGGCUGCUGAGGGAGCAUGGCUCAUAAUAAUAGCUGGAAUGGAGUCAAUGGAUGUCACGCAUCCCACUCCCGCUCCCCCUCCCUGGCGCUCGAGGGCGCCAGGCUGCCCAUCAUUACGCACACCUGUCACCAUCGUUACGCGCAUCAGCACUUCAUUGGACUCACCUGGAUUCCUUCACGUUUUAUUGCCUCCCCUAUAUCUGUCUAUUCCUCAGUUUGAUAUCGUGUCAGCAUUGAUGUUGUUUCGUUUCCCUUGUCCAGAUGCUGUCCUCGUUUUGUUUCAUGUCUGUUAUUCAUUAAAUGUUCACUCCCUGUACAAUGGAAUGGUAUCAACCACGGGUUUGAUAACAUUCCAUUGACUCCAUUACAGACAUUAUUAUGAGCCAUCCUCCCCUCAGCAGCCUCCACUGAACUAUAUGUAUAGCUAGCAACAUGUAGAUGACCAACUAGCUAGAUGGAAAAUGGGUGUUGAAAAAUGGUUGUACAUAACUAAAUCCAUCCAGUUAUCUAAUAGAAGUUAACUGCUUAACGUUACCCUGAAUUGUGAAUUUCUCUUAAUGUUGCGCCUCUUGUCGAGAUCAGUGGUGCCUUCAUAGUACUUUGCCUGGUUGGAAAGAUGAAAGAAAGUCUCCUUGAGGGAUGCCAUUGAAGUGCAAGCUACAGACAAACAGAAAGCUACAAUUGCAAUUACAGUAGCUAGCUAGCUAGCUAGCUAGCGUUAGCUAAAUAAAAUGUCUGGCUAGCUGACUAGGCAGGCUGAGGUAAAUAAGUAUAGUAGCUAGCAACGUAAAUUUAAAAACAGCUUAAAUGAUUUCUUCCUAUUUAACAAUAUGUUCUUAUAUAACGACAAAUAUAUGGUAAAGAAAGAGGGUUCUCUUUCCAGCCUUUUCGGGCCUCUGAAGCAGUAGGUAGUCACCAUCAAAAACAGUCCUUGGAGAGAAAUUCAGAGGUAAUAAUUUUGUGUAGACUGUGCUUUGGCAAAGUGGGUGGGGUUAUAUCCUACCCGUUUGGCCCUGUCCGGGGGUUUCAUCGGAUGGGGCCACAGUGUCUCCUGACCCCUCCUGUCUCAGCCUCCAGUAUUUAUGCUGCAGUAGUUUAUGUGUCGGGGGGGCUAGGGUCAGUCUGUCACAUCUGGAGUAUUUCUCGUCUUUUCCGGUGUCCUAUGUGAAUUUAAAUAUGCUCUCUCUAAUUCUCUCUCUCGGAGGACCUGAGCCCUAGGACCAUGCCUCAGCACUAGCUGGCUUGAUGACUUCUUGCUGUCCCCAGUUCACCUGGCCGUGCUGCUGCUCCAGUUCCAACUGUUCUGCCUGCAGCUAUGGAACCCUGACCUGUUCACCGGACGUGCUACCUGUCCCAGACCUGUUGUCCCAGACCUGCUGGAACCCUGACCUAUUCACUGGACGUGCUACCUGUCCCAGACCUGCUGUUUUCAACUCUCUAGAGACAGCAGGAGCGGUAGAGAUACUCUCAAAGAUCGGCUAUGAAAAAGCCAACUGACACUUACUCUUGUGUUACUGACUUGUUGCACCCUCGACAACUACUAUGAUUAUUAUUAUUUGACAAUGCUGGUCAUUUAUGAACAUUUGAACAUCUAGGCCAUGUGCUGUUAUAAUCUCCACCCGGCACAGCCAGAAGAGGACUGGCCACCCCUCAUAGCCUGGUUCCUCUCUAGGUUUCUUCCUAGGUUUUGGCCUUUCUAGGGAGUUUUUCCUAGCCACCGUGCUUCUACACCUGCAUUGCUUGCUGUUUGGGGUUUUAGGCUGGGUUUCUGUACAGCACUUUGUGAUAUCAGCUGAUGUAAGAAGGGCUAUAUAAAUAAAUUUGAUUUGAUUUGAUUUGGACUGAGCAAGCUCUUAUUAGGUGAAAAGAUAGAACUGCCCGCGUCCUCAGUCCUUCGCUACCGUUACCAGGUAAAAUAGAGCCAAGCAACCAGCAUAGCAACGGACGCUUUGGUUCAUUACGUAACCCAGUCAUAAUUUUGGAAGUUCUAGCAACAGCCCUAGCAACGGAAGCUAGAACUCAUUGAAUCCCAUUGUGACACAGGGGGGACACUAUCUGGCAUGACAGGACCUUAUUGAUUAUGUUAGUCACUGUCACUCAGAUAUCAUUAAUGUGGCAUAAGUCAUGACAAAAUGUAUAGAAUUGCAGGAAAUUAGCUUAAAUUUAAAACAAAAAAAUGCUCUGCCCCAUGGCAAAUUUAGUAAAAUUGCAUGAAAUUUGUUAUACAUUUAUUAAAAUAUUUUCUCUACGUGUAGAAUUGCAGGAAAUAAAUGUUAAAACCUUUUUCUCUCCGCUAUCAAGAUGGGGGCCACAAAAAAAAUUGACCUCUUGGUGGGGGGUUCGCCAACCAAAUCUCACUUAGGGCCCCCAAGCAAUGAAAAUGUGGCCUUAAGCAAGGAAUAAAUUCUUACACUGCUAGCUGGGUAAGGCUCUGAAGCUUACCUGGUGCUCCCAGAUUGUUGCAUGAAUAGUAUGUCAGCGGAUUUGGUACUGUGACAGAGAAAUAUGAAUUUCCUGUCACGGUUGUCGUAGGGUAGAGACCAAGACGCAGCGGGAAAAUAUAUACUUAUCUUCUUUUUAUUUAGGUGAAGACGGAAAAACACGUAUACAAAACAAAACGAACUUGACAGUCUUGUCAGGCAAACAGCUAAACAAGAACAAUCUCCCACAAAAUCCCAUGAAAAACAAACUCCUAAUUAUAGGACCCUCAAUCAGAGGCAACAAUAACCAGCUGCCUCCAAUUGAAGGUCCAACCCCAAUUAACUAAACAUAGAAAUACAAAAAACUAGAUAGAACAUACAAAAAUACUAACAUAGAACAUAGACUAACAAACCCCGGACCACAUAAACCAAACACCCCUCUGUUACGUUCCCCAGUUUCUGUUGUAGUUUGUAUAUUUGUAAGUGUGUUUCAGGUAAUGGCUUCCUGAAGUUCUCCAAGCAGCUGAUUGGUCGGCCCCAUUGCUGAUUGGAGAGCUGACCCCGCCCCCUCGCCAGGACGCAGCUGUCUCAAUUAACAACCCCAAUAUAAGCCAGUGUGCUGUUGCUCAGGGAAGGAGAGACAGAGAUUUUUGCUGAGAGAGGAGGUUGAUG